GACGAACGCUGGCGGCGUGCCUAAUACAUGCAAGUCGAGCGAGACUCUUCGGAGUCUAGCGGCGGACGGGUGAGUAACACGUGGGCAACCUGCCUGUAAGACUGGGAUAACACCGGGAAACCGGUGCUAAUACCGGAUAAUCCUUUUCCUCUCAUGAGGAAAAGCUGAAAGUCGGUUUCGGCUGACACUUACAGAUGGGCCCGCGGCGCAUUAGCUAGUUGGUGAGGUAACGGCUCACCAAGGCGACGAUGCGUAGCCGACCUGAGAGGGUGAUCGGCCACACUGGGACUGAGACACGGCCCAGACUCCUACGGGAGGCAGCAGUAGGGAAUCUUCCACAAUGGACGAAAGUCUGAUGGAGCAACGCCGCGUGAGCGAUGAAGGCCUUCGGGUCGUAAAGCUCUGUUGUUAGGGAAGAACAAGUACCGGAGUAACUGCCGUUACCUUGACGGUACCUAACCAGAAAGCCACGGCUAACUACGUGCCAGCCGCCGCGGUAAUAC
rnacentral:rRNA from 1 species